ACGGGCAGUGUGAAGACAUUCCCAGCUCCAGCGCCCACUUCCCCUCCCGAGGGGCGUCGCUGGCAAGAGUCCGAAUCCCACUGAUGGCUCGAGCUGAAAGAGUGGCAGCAGCAGCACUGGGGUCAUUUCUAACGUUCCUGCUGACAGCCCGGCCCUACAGAGCCCUCACUCUUUUGCAGAGCUCACCCCGUGCAAGGGUAUUUGCCUCGGGUCUGCUUUUCUUCCACGUGCAACAACUUCUGAUGCAGGGCAGGCAUCCAGCCUUGAUCUGAAAAAAUUUAAACAAAGCAAAAAAGGGCCCGAGUUCACCCCCUGGCAGCUCAUUUCGAAACAACGAUUGUGCUGUUGGCGAUCCCCGUCCCGCCCGCAAAAGCCUCUUCCUGCUCCUGCUGUGAAGAUGACAGGCUCCAACCUGGGACAAAUCCAUGGGAACAGCGGUUUGGAGGGCACCGGGCUCGCGCUUUCACACUGGAAGAGCAGCAUUUGCUGGAGAGAGUGAGGGGCUUUUACCUUGGCUCCGGCCCACAGGCUUCCUUCAGAGUGUUCCUUUCACAUGGAAAUUGGUGCCAAGUGAAGAUUGCUGGCUCUGGCUGGCGUGUCAGCCCUGGCGAGGGACACAAAGGUCUUGCAGCAGCGGAUAGAGGUGGCACAAGGAAAAGGAAAGAGGUUUGGGUUGUGCUGGCUUACUGGAAGGGGCAGGGAGUCCACGUGGAAGGAGUGGGAGAAGCGGGAGGGAGUGCAGGGAAAGAGAGCUAGAUUUAUGAACACUAAUUCCAAAUAAUCAGUCUUCUGCUGAGGGCAGCCCCACCAAUCUCGAAUUUCCCUGCCUCAGAGCCACCACUCGAGUCCCUUGCCUCCUUCACAGGAAGCCUGGGCCAAGCAAGCACACCUGCAUUAACUCUGCUGCACGUGAUUUAUGGAGCCAGCUUCACCACAACCCCUUUUUUUUUUUUUGUUUCCUGUCACCAGAACAGAACAAAAGUAAUCCCCAUAGGCUGGGUUUCCAUCAGCAUCACACUGUGCAAACAAGGUGCUGCUCCAAGGUACGAGUCCCUGCCUUCACUGGGAACGUCCUUGGAGGUUUUCUCCAGCCAGGAGACCCCUGUGGAAGAGCUGGAAGGUCCCUGAUGCCAGGAGGCAGCAGGUUAUCCACUGGAGCUGUGUCCAUGGAAUUCCAGGGGGCUGGAUGGGAUGUGUGUGGUACCUGCAGGAAUUGCAGGGGAUAAGAGAGCUGCUCCUUGUGAGCUGGAGACUCCCACUGUCACCCAGGGAACCCCCUGAAAAGGCAGAGUAUGUGGGAUUUAAACACUCCAGAGGCCCAAAUCCCAUUGCCUUGCUGCCUGGAAAGAAUGGAUAGCUUUGAAUUAGUAAAAAUGUCUUUUUUUUUUUCCCUUUUACAAAUCUUAGUUCUGUGUGUGUGCCUGCAGAACAUCAUCUUCACAAGGUGUUUCCCCAGAUGCAGGACCAGGCAGGACCAGCCUUUUGCCUCCCAGGUGAGAGCAGAGGGGGAUUUUGUCAGCUGGUCCCUGGGAAAACAGGAGGUUUCCUAUGUCAGAUUCCCAGAUUGUCCUGGGAAAUCAAAUUAUCUCGUGAAAGAAAGUUAAAAAUGAAACAACCCCACGUGGUGUCACCUUUGGGAAUGUUUCUUACCCUCAGACCCCCCAGUCAGGUGCUGAGCAUCGAAAGCACAAAGUGUGAGCAGGAGAAAAUUCGAGGACUUCACUUUCCAGGUUCUUAGAAACUUUCCAAUAGUUGCUUUGAAAUUCAUUCCUAAAUCAGAGAAGGUGAUAAAUCAAUGCAUAAGAAAUAACCUGGGCCGUGGCAAUCCCAGACGUGAGCACAGACUGAGAAAUGAGCUGAGAGAUGAGAACAAAAGGACUUGGGGAUCCUCAGGGAUGAAAAGCUGGACAUGAGCUGGCAGUGUGUGCUCAAAACACAUCCCCAAAAUUUAUUC